AGCCCAUGCGCGGAUGCGGGACUGAUGAUCGCCCAGGCGGCUCUGGAAUUCCCUCAGGGGGUGGAGAGGAGGGACCUGGGGACCUCUGAGUUUCCAACGACCCUCCAUUCCAGUUUCCUACGAUUCCAUUGCUUCCUAAGAAACUGCCUGGUGACUUGGAGCCUGCCCCAGGCCUUGGGCCCCAGUCCGGACCCGGGGAGCCCCGGGGCAGGAGUCGGCGGGGACCCAGCGCGUCCUGGGGCAGCGGGGACCGGGAAGAUGUCCCCGCCAGCCUGCGGAGCCCCGCUUCUCAGCGCUCCUGAGUAGCAGUUCUGGGAGGGAGAGGCGUCGCGUUGCAAGAAAGCUGUUGGAAGCACCAAGAAUUAGCGUGAUCUCUCAGCAAUUGGGAGUCAGGACGUGUUGCUUCCAUCCAGGCUACAAACCAAUGUUUGUCAUCUUUGGGAUACACCAGUGUGAAGGAAACCUGGAAUACCAGUACUGACCAUUUCAAGCCUGAUCUGUCUCCACAUGGGAUCAGCUAUUUCUUGGUGGCAGCUGGCUGAGAACAUUCUAGGGCAGCAUUUCCAGUGCAUAUUUCAGGAGCGUGUUCAGAAUUGUUUAUGAGAUCAUAGGCUCUAUGAGCAAAUGAACUGGGGAAGACAGGGAUCAAUUGACCAAGUUAAUUAAAGCUGCUUCCUUACAGCA